CCUUAGCCCAGAUGGAAGCGGCAUCCUUUUUCUUUUUCCUUUAAAAAGAAAAAGAUAUAGCGAACAGCUGGAAAAAGC
rnacentral:sRNA from 1 species